UCUCUAGGGGACAAAUGAAAGUUGAAGGCUCUACCUUAACCUAUAAGGAUUGUGCAGUCCGGCUUGGGAUUGGAGAGAAACAGGAACUGAGCAUUCUCCUGGAGUGCAGCCAGCAGACAUAAAGGAAGUUGCUGAGAAGGGUGUACAGACUCUUGUGAUUGGCAGAGGAAUGAGCGAGGCCUUGAAGGUGCCUCCAUCGACUGUGGAGUAGCUCGAGAAACAAGGCAUUGAUGUGCGAGUCCUCCAGACAGAGCGGGCAGUGAAGGAGUACAAUGCCUUGGUUGCCCAAGGCGUAAGGGUAGGAGGUGUCUUCCACUCCACCUGCUGAUGGAGCCUACAGAGGAGAAUAAACCUCUGGGCAGCAAUGCCUUGACUGCCUUCCAUUCUCCACAUCAGCCUCCACUGUGUACUUUGGACAUAUGCUCAAGUUCUUGGAACAGAUUGAUGGGAGGCUAAGGCACAGUUCUUGCCCUCCAGGUUGCUUAAAUCAGAAGAGAGAUUUGCUGACGUUUAGUAUUGUGCUAUGUGUUAGGUUCAAAGUAUGAGAAAGUUCAUACAAAAAUAAAGGUUGAAGCUUGGAAGCAAAAAAAAAAGAAAAGAA
rnacentral:lncRNA from 1 species